rnacentral:rRNA from 1 species
CCUACGGGUGGCAGCAGUGAGGAAUAUUGGUCAAUGGUCGGGAGACUGAACCAGCCAAGCCGCGUGAGGGAUGAAGGUACAGAGUAUCGUAAACCUCUUUUGUCAGGGAACAAAGGCGGGGACGCGUCCCCGGAUGAGUGUACCUGAAGAAAAAGCAUCGGCUAACUCCGUGCCAGCAGCCGCGGUAAUACGGGGGAUGCGAGGGUUAUCCUGAUUUAUUGGGUUUAAAGGGUGCGCAGGCGGUCUGUUAAGUCAGCGGUAAAAGCCCGGGGUUAACCCCCGGCCCGCCGUUGAAACUGGCAGUCUCGAGUUGGAGAGAAGUAUGCGGAAUGCGCGGUGUAGCGGUGAAAUGCAUAGAUAUCGCGCAGAACUCCGAUUGCGAAGGCAGCAUGCCGGCUCCACACUGACGCUGAGGCACGAAAGCGUGGGUAUCGAACAGGAUUAGAUACCCCUGUAGUC